CAUUACAGAGUUACUACUCCAAACCCAUUGUGAACCUUACCUAUGUUCUGUUGCCUCGGCGGCGUCGGUCAGCGCCCCUCUGAGAAGAGGACGAUGCCCCUCCCGCCGGCAGCACCAAACUCUUGAAUUUUACAGCGGAUUACAGUUCUGAUUUGAAAACAAAAAACAAGUUAAAACUUUCAACAACGGAUCUCUUGGUUCUGGCAUCGAUGAAGAACGCAGCGAAAUGCGAUAAGUAAUGUGAAUUGCAGAAUUCAGUGAAUCAUCGAAUCUUUGAACGCACAUUGCGCCCGGCAGUAAUCUGCCGGGCAUGCCUGUCCGAGCGUCAUUUCAACCCUCGAACCUCCGUUUCCUCAGGGAAGCCCAGGGUCGGUGUUGGGGCGCUACGGCGAGUCUUCGCGACCCCCGUAGGCCCUGAAAUACAGUGGCGGUCCCGCCGCGGUUGCCUUCUGCGUAGUAAGUCUCUUUUGCAAGCUCGCAUUGGGUCCCGGCGGAGGCCUGCCGUCAAACCACCUAACAACUCCAGAUGGUUUGACC
rnacentral:rRNA from 1 species